CGAAAAAGGAGGAGGAGUGACAGGAGUAUGGAAAUCCAGGAAUCUAAGCAUGAAAGUCCAGUUAAGAGUAUCUGGAAUUUGUCCAGGAAGCUGCCCUGGAACAAUUUCACCAGUUUCACUGGGGUUGGUGGCCUUGAUCUACACAUCUCAAAACACACAUCCAAAUGUGGGAAAAGCUGACAGAGAGUAUCAAAUUCUUUGGCGUCCUUGAAAGUAUUUAUUGUCCCCAUUGAAGAAGGAGAACGCAAGAAACUACAGAUCUGUCAGCUCGAUGUCAAUAUUGGGCAAAACUUUGGAGAGAUUGUAAGCAUGGGUUUGUGGCCAACAAAUCAUGGCAGAUUAAAUUUACCUCCUAAUUUGAUU